CAGAGAAUAUGGCGAUUCGGCAACAGAGACUGGAGGAGAAAACGAAGAAGAGCAAAGUGUGACUGUUGAUGAUCAAUUCAUGGAACCUAGCUUUCGCGUAGUCCGUGAGAUCAAGCAUGGAGAGGAGAGAAUAAUUGAAGAGAUCGAACAUUUCAGUCAUCAACAUAACCUAAUCCUUAAUGACAAGGUUGAUGAUGAUCUAAAGUGUGAUGGGUGCAUGCUACCAAUCUCAACUCCAUUUUAUAGUUGUGCCAGGUGUAAUUUCUUUCUUGACAAAACCUGCAUAGAAUUACCCAAGAAAAAAAAGUGGCAAUAUCACGAAAACCAACUGAUUCUUUCAUGGAGCCGAAGGGAACAUUUUCUGUACAACUGUGUUGUGUGUAAUCAAUAUUUUCGUGGGCUCAGGUACACAUGUGAUGUAUGUCGUCUCUGCAUUGAUGUCCGAUGCUUCAAAUCAUUGAAAGAUUCUUUUAAACAUGGAGGUCAUGAGCAUCCCCUUUAUCUUCCAGCGGACAGAAAGAAAAUUCUCCGUUGCACUAUUGGAGGUCGCGGGGUUCCCCCUUGGGUUGCAGAUGACGGAGAGAUUAUUCCCCAUUGCAGUGGCUGUUGUGUCAGUGAAGAAUCAAAGGUAUUUUUUAAAUGUGCGGUUUGCGAUUUCAAGCUGGGUAUGAAAUGUGCUACACUGCCAUACAAAGCAAGACACGAGUAUGAUGACCAUCCUCUCUUCCUCACCUAUAUUAAUGCAAAUGACUACCAACCUUCCUGUAUAAUUUGUGAAGAAGAUAGAGACCCAAAGCUCUGGUUCUACCGUUGUGAGGAAUGCGACUUCGAUGCUCAUCCAGAAUGUGCUCUCGGGAAAUACCCAUUUUUCAAGCCAGGGGGUGUUCUAACAUAUCCUAAACACCCUCACCCUCUUGCUUUGGUCAUCAAGACAGAGGAUUAUCGUCCACAGGCAUGCGAUACUUGUGGUUUGCCUUGCGACGACUUGGCCCUAGAAUGUACUGAUCCUAACUGCAGUUUUAUCGUCCACCGGGAUAGAUGGGAAUGCUAUGAGUCAUUAUGGUGAUUGGAUUGCAGUUGAUGGCUUUUUUCUUAUUUUUGGGUUAUGAUUGUUGGGGUGAAUGGAUGGAUACAUAUGUAGCUUCAUACUUAUUAUUUUCGCAGAUGAGAUCACUUUUUUUUCUCUCUCUUUUUUUCUGAACAAUGGAUGCUAUUUUAUUAAAACUGUCAAGCUCUCCAUAAAUUCUGCAUUUACAUUUUCGUUAUAGAUUUUAUUGUAAAUGCAUAAAAAUAGUCAUAUAAAACAACACUUAUCUAACUGAUAUCAAUUAUUUUCAUUCAAAUAUUUAAUUUUUCUUUCCUUAACACAAUCUAAUAUUAAAUAAAUGUAUUUAAAUAAUAUUUAAAACGAACACCUCAAGGCCAUUCGAUAGCUUUGUCCUUUAAUAAGAUAUAUAAUGAAAAAAUAAGUUAAUUCAUGUUUUUGAUAUUUUUCUUCUUAAGAAGAAUUAAGAUUUUGCCUGUUUCACUUGCAAUGCAUGUGGCACUGAUUUGUUGAAGAUUAUUACCAUCAGACGUCACAUCUGUUGCAUUUCUUCGUUCAGCUAACCCAGUCUCAGAAAAUUUCUUCAUUUGUAUAGGUAUUGAUAUCAUAAAUAAAAUUCAAAAAAUAAAAAAUAAAAAUUUUAAUUCAUUUAAAAAAAAAUUUAAAUUUUUUUUUUUUUACCACUUCUCGUAGCAAUCCACGUAGCCUCGGUUUUACUUUGAAAACAACUUGGCAACUGAAUGGUGGUCCAGUUAAACGCAUUUUCUUAAUCAGCAGUUUUCCUUUUGAAAUGAAAACGGUUGGCGUGUACUUGUGCUUCCUUUUCUUUUUCUUUUUUUUUUGUUUUUUUUUUUUUAUUAACGUAGAUGUCCGGGUCACUUUGUGCGUACCUCAACUAAUCCCACAGACUCUGAAGUUAAUAACCAUGUAAGCCUCUAGUGGCCCUGAGAUUUGUAGGACUCGAAUGGGUGACCUCUAGAGAGCAAACCUAGGAUCUAACCAGUUAAGUUACACCUCUCAGGAUUUUUUCUUUUAUUUUUAUUCCAUAGUAAAAGGUAAUUUUUUAUUAGUUUAUAUGUUAAUCAAGAUUGAGUUUUUUUAUUCAAAUAAUUUUAAAGAUAAAUAAUUUAAAGUUAUGAAUCAUCUAAUAAUCCAUUUAAAGUUAUAAAGUUAUAUAGUUGUGAUGUGUCUUAAAUCAAAUAAAAACUAUACUAGAUUAUUAAUUUGCAUUACGCUACAGGCCAAGUUAAUUUUUUUAUAAAUAUAAAAAAAAUAUUUAGAUAUUGUUAAUUUUUUUUUUCAGUAAAAAAAUCUAAAUCACUUGAAGAUUGACCUGAUAUAACUUGGUUGAUUUUACGAGUCUAAAGCAACUCAUACAACCCGAAAAAACAUAGUUUGACUAAAAAAAAAUUUAAGAUGAUAUCUUUUUUAAUAUUAAGAUAAAAAUAUAUUUUACUGUUUUAUUAAAUUAAAUAUAGAAAAAAAAGUUUUUUAAUAGAAGUAAAAUAAACACUUUUGUCUUAUGAUUUAUGUGCACAUUAAAAUGUGUUUUAUAUACUUGAUUUGGUUCUUGAUCUAUAGUAAUGAAUCAGUUUUAUUUAAAUAAUUAAGUUAUUAUAUGAAUAUGAAUUGAAUAUAAAUAAUUAAGUUAUUUGAAACAAUAAACAAUAAAAGGACAUGAGAGGAUGAAUAUGAAUUGAAUCCUAAUUAACUCCACUCUAAAACUAAUAACUUAUUAUAUGGACAAGAUCCAUUAACUAAGAAACGGACCAAUCCAGUAGAAUACUAAGCAAUGGACCAAUCCAGUAACAAGAAGUUAAGGAGACCCACUUCAAGUCAACGAGCCUUCUUCUCCAACCAGAAAAGAAAGGGGAAAGUGUCUUCUUAUUCACAUGCUUAAAUAAUAUCAUCUGCACAAAAAGAUAGCUUUCCUCAUGAUCUUCUUCCCACCUCCUCCUUACAUAUAACACCCUUCCUUCCUUUUUGGGCUUCUUUGAAUUCUGGGUCCUUUGAAUUCCUUUUUCGUUUCGGCUUUCUGUCCCGUAAUCUUUGCUAAAUGGGAUGAAAGAAGAAAAAUGCUUCCCCAGCAAUUGAUUGGCUGAUCUGUAAUGUAGCAGCAAGCAGCUGUAAUUAUUUAAUUAGCCGUCGGUGAAGAGGUCAAGUUUCAGUUCAGAAGGUGAGGUAUUGAAUACUAGUGGCACUCAACUUUUAUUUGCCUUUCCAUUUCGAUAACAUAUAUAUUCGGCAGCUUCAGUCUUACCUUGGCUCAACACCCCUCAUUUCCUGCUCUGUCAUCUGAGAGGGCCAGAGACAUGGAGGUUGAACAUGUUAGCCACCCAGAUCAUCCAUUGAUCCUCAUUAAUCAAGUUCUCGAAUAUAGUUGUGAACUAGUUAUUUGCUCUGGAUGCGAGGGACCUAUAUGGGGUCCUUGCUACAGUUGCACCUCUUGCUACUUCUUUCUUCACAAGAAAUGCGCCGAGCUGCCCCGUGAGAUCAUGCGGCGCAUUCAUCGUAGACACCCUCUCCAUCUACUGCCAAAGCCACCGUAUAAAACACGAUGCUUUUGUGAUCGGUGCUACAAAACUUGCAACAGUUUUGUUUACCAUUGUUCUUUUUGUAAGUUUGAUCUAGAUAUCAAAUGUGCUUUUCAACCGGGUUUUUUGGAAGUUGAUAGUCAGGCACAUCAAUUUACCCACAAGGAUCAUCCAUUGAUUUUGAAUGAAGAGCAAGAAUAUCAUGGUGAAGGAGUUGUGUGCUGUGUGUGCAAGGAACCAAUGUCUGGUCCUAGCUAUAGUUGCACUUCUUGCAACGUCUUUCUUCACAAGAAGUGUGCUGAGCUACCCCCAGAGAUCAAGAGGCACAGUCAUCCAGAACACCCUCUUUGUCUACUGCCAAAUCAUCACAUGAUCUGUAGUUUUUGCAAAGAAACUUGCUAUGAGAGUUUUGCUUACUGCUGUUUUGUGUGCGAAUUCAACCUCCAUAUCAAAUGUGCUUUUCCACCGUGCGUUUAUGCAGCUGAUCAGGAUCAGGGGCAUCAAUUUAGAAGCCUGCUGAAUCCACGUUCAUUCAAAUCAAUCUCCUUCACUUGCAAUGCAUGCGGCACAGAUGGAUAUGGCUCCCCAUUCAUAUGCACCAUGUGCCAACUCGUGGUCCACGAAGAAUGCAUUUCAUUGCCAGGCACCCUUAAAAUAGCACUGCACCAUCAUCCCCGAAUCAUCCACACCUAUCAUCCUCAACAAUGCAUCGAAUCUAUAAACAAGUACUGUGGAAUUUGCUGUCGGGAAGUUGACACAGAAUACGGAGUUUACUAUUGCCCAGACUGUGACUUUGUUGCACACGUGAAUUGUAGCAGAGAAUAUGGCGAUUCGGCAACAGAGACUGGAGGAGAAAACGAAGAAGAGCAAAGUGUGACUGUUGAUGAUCAAUUCAUGGAACCUAGCUUUCGCGUAGUCCGUGAGAUCAAGCAUGGAGAGGAGAGAAUAAUUGAAGAGAUCGAACAUUUCAGUCAUCAACAUAACCUAAUCCUUAAUGACAAGGUUGAUGAUGAUCUAAAGUGUGAUGGGUGCAUGCUACCAAUCUCAACUCCAUUUUAUAGUUGUGCCAGGUGUAAUUUCUUUC
rnacentral:lncRNA from 1 species